UCCACCUCACCUUGUGGAAACUGGUGUUU
rnacentral:piRNA from 1 species